AGUCUUUUAAUUGAUGACUAGAAUGAAUGAUUGGAUGAAAAAUAAGCUGUCUCUAAAUUAAUAUUUAUAAUUUAAUUUUUUUAUGAAAAAGUAAAAAUGUUAUUAAAAGACGAGAAGACCCUAUAGAGUUUUAUAAGUUAUUAUAAUUUGAAUUAUUUAUAAGUUUUAAAUUUAAUUGUGAAAAUUUAUUUUGUUGGGGUGAUAAAAAAAUUAAAUAAACUUUUUUUAAUUUGAAACACAAAUAAGUGAGUAAUUGAUCCAUAAUUUGUGAUUAAAAGAAAAAAUUACCUUAGGGAUAACAGCGUAAUUUUUUUUUUUAGUUCUUAUAAAAAGAAAAGUUUGCGACCUCGAUGUUGGAUUAAGAUAAAAUUUAAAUGC
rnacentral:rRNA from 1 species